rnacentral:rRNA from 1 species
AACGAACGCUGGCGGCAUGCCUAACAUAUGCAAGUCGAACGAGACCUUCGGGUCUAGUGGCGCACGGGUGCGUAACGCGUGGGAAUCUGCCCUUAGGUUCGGAAUAACUCCCCGAAAGGGGUGCUAAUACCGGAUAAUGUCUUCGGACCAAAGAUUUAUCGCCUUUGGAUGGGCCCGCGUUGGAUUAGCUAGUUGGUAGGGUAAAAGCCUACCAAGGCGACGAUCCAUAGCUGGUCUGAGAGGAUGAUCAGCCACACUGGGACUGAGACACGGCCCAGACUCCUACGGGAGGCAGCAGUGGGGAAUAUUGGACAAUGGGCGAAAGCCUGAUCCAGCAAUGCCGCGUGAGUGAUGAAGGCCUUAGGGUUGUAAAGCUCUUUUACCCGGGAUGAUAAUGACAGUACCGGGAGAAUAAGCUCCGGCUAACUCCGUG